rnacentral:rRNA from 1 species
CAGUCGCCGCGGGAAUACGAAGGGGGCUAGCGUUGUUCGGAUUUACUGGGCGUAAAGCGCACGUAGGCGGAUCGAUCAGUCAGGGGUGAAAUCCCAGAGCUCAACUCUGGAACUGCCUUUAAUACUGUCGAUCUGGAGUAUGGAAGAGGUGAGUGGAAUUCCGAGUGUAGAGGUGAAAUUCGUAGAUAUUCGGAGGAACACCGGUGGCGAAGGCGGCUCACUGGUCCAUUACUGACGCUGAGGUGCGAAAGCGUGGGGAGCAAACAGGAUUAGAUACCCGGGUAGUCCCUGUCUCUUAUAA